CCGUAUUGUAGUAUUGAGAUAUAUUUUCAAUCCAUUGUACCCGUAUCUCAUGUGUGACCUUUUUCUAAGAUAUUGAAAUGAACUUCCUAUUGGCGAUUAUCUCCAGCGUUGUAGUGGCAAGUGGGUCACGUGCAUUACGAUGCAUCAGCGUCCAUAUCGAAAAGGAGAAUCUCAUAGCAACUGAUGAGGAGACAAACUCGUGCUUCAGAAAUAGCGAAACGCACAUUUUUAAGAAGAUUACAGUGACAAGGUGUAGCUGCAAUACCUGCCAUAGAAACCAAUUAAUGAUGCAUUUUGGAAAGCCAGAGGAGAUCGGUGAAGG